rnacentral:ncRNA from 1 species
CUAGUCUCGGCCUGUCGUUGCUCAUCAACGACACGGCUUUGACAGGCCGGAAU